rnacentral:rRNA from 1 species
AUUGAACGCUGGCGGCAGGCCUAACACAUGCAAGUCGAACGAGUGGCGUACGGGUGAGUAAUGUCUGGGAAACUGCCUGAUGGAGGGGGAUAACUACUGGACACGGUAGCUAAUACCGAACACCAUCGGAUGUGCCCAGUUGGGAUUAGCUAGUAGGUGGGGUAAAGGCUAACCUAGGCGACGAUCCGUAGCUGGUCUGAGAGGAUUACCAGCAACACUGGAACUGAGACACGGUCCAGACUCCUACGGGAGGCAGAAGUGGGGAAUAUUGCACAAUGGGCGCAAGCCUGAUGCAGCCAUGCCGCGUGUGUGAAGAAGGUCUUCGGGUUGUAAAGUACUUUAAGCGGGGAGGCGUUACCCGCAGAAGAAGCACCGGCUAACUCCGUGCCAGCCGCCGCGGUAAUUC